GAAGGGGGCGAGCGUUGUUCGGAAUUACUGGGCGUAAAGGACGCGCAGGCGGUCCUUCAAGUCAGAUGUGAAAGCCCCGGGCUCAACCUGGGAACAGCAUUUGAGACUGGAGGACUUGAGGACGGGAGAGGAGAGUGGAAUUCCCAGUGUAGAGGUGAAAUUCGUAGAUAUUGGGAAGAACACCAAUGGCGAAGGCAGCUCUCUGGACCGUUACUGACGCUGAGGCGCGAAAGCGUGGGGAGCAAACAGGAUUAGAUACCCUGGUAGUCCACGCCGUAAACGAUGUGUGCUAGACGUUGGGGGACCUAGUCUCUCGGUGUCGCAGCUAACGCUUUAAGCACACCGCCUGGGGAGUACGGCCGCAAGGUUA
rnacentral:rRNA from 1 species